rnacentral:lncRNA from 1 species
CUGCCAUAUUCUCACCAGACCUCUGACCUGUCUGCUCGCAAGAACUGAUACCGGUAUCGGGGAACUCGUACAGUCAACACCGCAGCAAAUUACUACAGGCAGAAGCACAGCUCCAAUGCAACAAGCGGCCGUGCACGUGACCAGGUGUGUCGUGAGCGGCGCUGUCACAGGGCUAGCGCAGCGGCGGCGGUGCAGGCCUUGGUGCAGGCACACACGCACACCACGCAAGGUCGCAAGCACACCACGACACAGACCUUGACAAACCUGCGUCACGUUCACUCAAAUCGCCGUAUCUAUG